AUUAAAACUCAUCCCAAUCAUCUAAUUUACCUAUCAAUUCUAACAAACCAAAAGCCCCAAUUAUCAACACUUCAAUGAAAGAACUUCAACCCUUUGCCUAUAAUGUCCAAAGAUACUACCUAAAUACACUCAUACAUGAAGAUAUUAGAAUGCAGGGCUAAAGUGAGGUAUCAGCACCCACUUGCCCCAUAAUUAAAUAACAGGUCCACUUUGUCAAUCAUUAUUGAAGAAAGGCACAUUAUAGACAUAAAAAAAGAGAAAAGAGCCCUAUUAGACAACAACAUAACUUAAAAACAGAGGAAUCUACCAAGGGUAAAGAGAUAGGGAACACAUGCUUCAAAGUAUCCCUAUACAUAAGAAAACGUAUGUAGGCACAUAGAAGUCAAUUGGUCCAAGACUUGGAGUGGUGUACAGAUGAAGAAAUUAUUUUGGUGGUCUGUUUGGAGUACAUUAGAAGAAGAAUUUGAAUAUCAAUUAAAGACAAUAGGUUCUGCGUCUGAACAAGCUGCCAAAGAUUUGUUAUGUUAUCCACCACAACAUUGAUGCAGGGCCUAUUUUGACGCAGUCUGCAAAAACUUCUCAUGUGAAAAUAAUUUUACUGAGUCUUUGAACAAACGGAUUUUGGAAGCAAGGGCAAAACCAAUAAUUCAAGAUGUUGAAAGACAUUAGAAGCAAAACCAAAAAUUCAAGAUGUUGAAAGACAUUAGAAUCAAGGAAAACAAGUUCUUCAAAAUGUGCCGGUGUCAGCACCCCAACCAAGUGAAGAAGCUGAAUCAAUCUUUAUGCCAACUCCUGAAUUUGUUUCAUCUUCUAAUCAAUAAACAAGCCAAAAAUCAAGUCAGGUAAUUAAUGAAGCUCAUAUUGGUCCUUCAAAUUUAAAGAGAAAAGUAAAGGAAAAAGAUUUUUUUUGGUUCUGAAGUAAAGGACAAAGUUGUUGCACCUUCAAAGAGGUCUAAAAAUAGUGCAAAAAAGAAAACAUUGUUACUGCAAUUGUUGAUGAAGAUGAAGUUGAAGGUGAUAUUGAAUAUGAGGAUGAUGAGAUAGUGGUUGGGCCUAGGGUGAUAUCUGAAGAAAAGACUAGACUUCAAAUUAAGAAGUUGCAUCAACAACCAAUUGGUUCAAGAAAGAUUAACUUCAGGGGUGAUGAGAGUGGUGCUAGUAUGCCUACUAAUCUGCCACACUCAUCAAAAAAGCUGACCUGAAAAGGCAAAACAUGUGUGCCUCGAAUCAAUUGACAAAAGAAAAGGAGAUAAAAAUUGAAAAACUAAAAGCAAAGAGGGGCAAACAUUGAUAGUGAAUGUUAAGUUGUGAUUUUUAGUUUUUGUUUGUUAUGUAAUGGCAUAGUGAAGUUUUUUAUUUUGCUAUUUUUUGGAUGCUUACUGUUUGUUACUAGCCAUGUAUGUUAAUUACAUUUUAGUCUUGUGAUUGUAAAACAAAGUGAGAAUGUUUUGUGGGCUGAAAAAUAUAUGAAUGCAAUUGGUAAUUUAUCUAUAAAAUGUCUUGUGAG